rnacentral:tmRNA from 1 species
UUAGUCUCGCGUCAGAUACUUCGACGUUAUUGUCAUCUGGUGUUAAAAACAAAUAUCGUCUAAGCUGUAGACGUUAUUGUGGGACCUUCUUUGGACCGGGGUUCAAUUCCCCGCAUCUCCACCA